rnacentral:rRNA from 1 species
AUUGAACGCUGGCGGCAUGCUUUACACAUGCAAGUCGAACGGUAACAGGCCGCAAGGUGCUGACGAGUGGCGAACGGGUGAGUAAUGCAUCGGAACGUGCCCAGUCAUGGGGGAUAACGCAGCGAAAGCUGUGCUAAUACCGCAUACGAUCUAUGGAUGAAAGCGGGGGACCGUAAGGCCUCGCGCGAUUGGAGCGGCCGAUGUCAGAUUAGCUAGUUGGUGGGGUAAAGGCCCACCAAGGCGACGAUCUGUAGCUGGUCUGAGAGGACGACCAGCCACACUGGGACUGAGACACGGCCCAGACUCCUACGGGAGGCAGCAGUGGGGAAUUUUGGACAAUGGGCGCAAGCCUGAUCCAGCAAUGCCGCGUGCAGGAAGAAGGCCUUCGGGUUGUAAACUGCUUUUGUACGGAACGAAACGGUCUGGGUUAAUACCCUGGGCUAAUGACGGUACCGUAAGAAUAAGCACCGGCUAACUACGUGCCAGCAGCCGCUGUAACAC